AACGAACGCUGGCGGCAGGCCUAACACAUGCAAGUCGAACGCCCUGGCAACAGGGAGUGGCAGACGGGUGAGUAACGCGUGGGAACGUGCCCUUCGGUUCGGAAUAACUCAGGGAAACUUGAGCUAAUACCGAAUACGUGCGAGAGCAGAAAGAUUUAUCGCCGAAGGAUCGGCCCGCGUCCGAUUAGCUAGUUGGUGAGGUAAUGGCUCACCAAGGCGACGAUCGGUAGCUGGUCUGAGAGGAUGAUCAGCCACACUGGGACUGAGACACGGCCCAGACUCCUACGGGAGGCAGCAGUGGGGAAUAUUGGACAAGGGGCGCAAGCCUGAUCCAGCCAGGCCGCGUGAGUGAUGAAGGCCCUAGGGUUGUAAAGCUCUUUCGCCAGGGACGAUAAUGACGGUACCUGGAUAAGAAGCCCCGGCUAACUUCGUGCCAGCAGCCGCCGUAA
rnacentral:rRNA from 1 species